AGAUUGAACGCUGGCGGCAUGCUUUACACAUGCAAGUCGAACGGCAGCACGGGGGCAACCCUGGUGGCGAGUGGCGAACGGGUGAGUAAUGCAUCGGAACGUAUCCUUGAGUGGGGGAUAACACCUCGAAGGGGGUGCUAAUACCGGGUGAGGUCUCCGGCCCACAUGGGUUGGGGAGGAAAGGGGAAACCCGCCGAAGGAGGGGCUCGCGGCCCAUUAAUGGCGCACCAAGGCGACGAUGGGUAGCCGGCCUGAGAGGGUGAACGGCCACACUGGGACUGAGACACGGCCCAGACUCCUACGGGCGGCAGC
rnacentral:rRNA from 1 species